CCAGAAGAAGAAGAAGAAGAAGAAGAAGCUACUUUGCAAAGAAAAAAGGAGAAGGGCCAAAGAUUAGACGGAAGAAGACGGAGAUGGACAACUGUAUUGAAGUUGGCUGUUAAAGUGGCUGAACGGUGACGGCAGAAGACAACUUGGAAUCUCGAACAGAGGUGGUCCUGUAUAGUGCACCUGUCCUCUGUGAUGGGAGCAGGUCGAGAGGCGAGCUGCCUGAAUCUGACCGGACCGAGACCCCAAGACCAAGAGAGAGAUUUACUGAUACUGUAGCAGAACCACAAGGUCCAAAAGACUGAAACCAUCCGGCGCCCAGUGAAGGAAGGAAGAAGAAGAAAAACCUGAAGAAGAUGGAGGUACAGUAACGUCAAUGUGAUGAAGUGAAUUAAAUGAAUAGUUUAAUGAUCGUUGUUGGAGCAGAGUGUUAUCUUACUAGCUUACUUCAGAUAGAAGAUAUCAUUUAACAAUCAAUAAAUAGCUGAGUCGACAUGUGUUAAUGUUACUCCACCUUAAAUUCAUCAAGGACGUUUGGAAAGUUAACAUUAGGCCUGUUCAGGUGUUAUUUUA
rnacentral:lncRNA from 1 species